GCCGUGGUGGUGUAAUGGUUAGCAUUUUUGCCUAAAAAGCAAGAAGACCUGGGUUCGAGUCCCUGUCGCAGCA